AGCAGCCGCGGUAAUUCCAGCUCCAAUAGCGUAUAUUAAAGUUGUUGCAGUUAAAAAGCUCGUAGUUGAAUUUCAGGCCUGGCUGGACGGUCCGCCCUUCGGGUGAGUACUGUCUGUGGUCGGGUCCUACCUUCUGGCGAAGCGUCAUGGCCUUAACCGGCUGUGGCGGGGAACCAGGACUUUUACUGCGAAAAAAUUAGAGUGUUCAAAGCAGGCAAUCGCUUGGAUACAUUAGCAUGGAAUAAUGGAAUAGGACAAUGGUUCUAUUUGUUGGUUUCUAGGACCGUUGUAAUGAUUAAUAGGGAUAGUUGGGGGCAUUAGUAUUCAAUUGUCAGAGGUGAAAUUCUUGGAUUUAUUGGAGACUAACUACUGCGAAAGCAUUUGCCAAGGAUGUUUUCACUAAUCAAGAACGAAAGUUAGGGGAUCGAAGACGAUCAGAUACCGUCGUAGUCUUAACCAUAAACUAUGCCGACUAGGAAUCGGGCGAUGUUGAAAAAAUGACGC
rnacentral:rRNA from 1 species